rnacentral:snoRNA from 1 species
AUAUUUCAAUGAUGAGUUAUUAGUUAUCCCUGUCUUACAAAAAUGUGGUGAGAACACUAUGCUGAAAAUUAG